AAUCAACCCACAAACCCUUUCAACAAAAGAGCAGUAGCUGUUUAGGACACCUGCUGAUAUAAAUGAUCUUCCUACAGUAGCUAAUUAGUUCAUAGGUAAAGUCCCAGCUGAGAGCACCUGGAACAUGCAGAACUGAAUCUGAGUUUUGUAGAGCCAAUAGCACUUAGUAAUAUGUAGUGAAAAUAUUGUUCUCUUUAGAUCAGCUGCUGAUAGCUGUAUGGCCAAAGUAGAUGUCGAAGAAAUUGCUUAAAGGUUUAGAAUGGCUUCUCAUUGAAAUCACUUGGAAGAAAUGGGCAACACUUGGAAAAUCUGCCUGAUAGCAAUCUGUGGAGGUUUCUUGAAAUGGUACAACUUUGAAGGUAGAACUACUGAUACAGUAACUCACAUGGAACUCUGAUAGAAGCCUCCUGGCCCUAAAUUCUCCAUUUCAUAUACCUGAAAGAGGUCAGACAAUGGAACAUUAGGGCAAAAUAUGAUUGUAUUGAUACGUGAGCAAAGGUCAACCAACCGGAGAGAAGCAGAUUUCACUACUGGAUGGAGAAAGUUCCCUAACAUGGUGGUAAGCUUAGUGAAAUCAUCUUUCAUAGUUUUCAGGAGUGAAAUUAGAUCGAAAUCUGUAUUGUGAUAAAAGGAUUACUAGGGUCCUCAUAGGAAAAACGAGGUGAACUGGAAAGUUAGCAACUGAGGUACAUGGAAGUAAAUGGUUAUAUCAUAUUCUUGGAAGAAAAAUCUUAGGAAAACAACCAGAUUCCAUUUUAAGACAAGAACAACUCCAACUGUGAUUGUUUCUGAAAAGCAACAAUGUAAAAAACCUGUUUGCUACAGAUACAGGAUUUCUUUUGUAAAAUAAACUUAUCUGGUAUGUCUGAUUAUUUUUAUAUUUUUUCCUUGUUUGAUCAGCAUGUAUUGUGAGCUCGGUUUUAUGCAUAAGUUGGUGCUCAUGGAUGCGUUUGGGCUUCUCUUGGGUAAGGACUGUGUGGGCUUUUGAACAAUAGUCUGCCAAGCAAUGUAUCAUGAAUCCUAAUUGUUUGAGAAAACAGUUGUUCUUUUUCUCCAGCAAAUACUGUUGUAUCCACAUUAUUAACAUAGUUAUGUAUAGUCGUUUUGAAAAUCAUUCUCGGUUUGAAGAAUUCUAAUGCUUCAUACAGUGAUUAUGCAAAAGUCUCAUGUAUAAGCAAUACCGAUGUUACUGGAAGCGCCUCAUAUAGAGUCCAAAUAUAGCAGAUCAAAUCAAAACUGUGCUACAUCUUAAGCAACUGUUGACCCAUUUCCAUAUCAAAUUGGUU